AUUGAACGCUGGCGGCAGGCUUAACACAUGCAAGUCGAGCGAGCGGCGGACGGGUGAGUAAUGUCUGGGAAACUGCCUGAUGGCGGGGGAUAACUACUGGAAACGGUAGAUAAUACCGCAUACCAUCAGAUGUGCCCAUAUGGGAUUAGCUAGUAGGUGGGGUAAUGGAGCACCUAGGCGACGAUCCCUAGCUGGUCUGAGAGGAUGACCACCCACACGGUAACUGAGACACGGCCCAGACUCCUACGGGGGGCAGAAGGGGGGAAUAUUGCACAAGGGGCGACAGCCUGAUGCAGCCAUGCCGCGUGUGUGAAGAAGGCCUUCGGGUUGUAAAGCACUUUCAGCGAGGAGGCGUUACUCGCAGAAGAAGCACCGGCUAACUCCGUGCCAGCAGCCGCGUAAUUC
rnacentral:rRNA from 1 species